GUGCCAGCCGCCGCGGUAAUACCAGCUCCGCGAGUGGUCGGGACGAUUAUUGGGCCUAAAGCGUUCGUAGCCGGCCUAUCAAGUCUCUGGUUAAAUUUCAAGGCUUAACCUUGAACGUGCUGGAGAUACUGUUAGGCUAGGGGGCGGGAGAGGUUGAGGGUACUUCGCGGGUAGGGGCGAAAUCCUAUAAUCCGCGAAGGACCACCAGUGGCGAAGGCGCUCAACUGGAACGCGCCCGACGGUGAGGGACGAAAGCCAGGGGAGCAAAGGGGAUUAGAUACCCCCGUAGUCCUGGCUGUAAACGAUGCGGGCUAGGUGUUGGGUUGGCUUCGUGCCAACCCGGUGCCGCAGCGAAGGCGAUAAGCCCGCCGCCUGGGAAGUACGGUCGCAAGGCUGAAACUUAAAGGAAUUGACGGGG
rnacentral:rRNA from 1 species